rnacentral:tRNA from 1 species
GCGGGAUUAGUUCAUCGGUAGAAUAUCUGCUUUCCAAGCAGAGGGGACGGACGGGUUCGACUCCCGUAUCCCGCU